AAUAAAAUGCCUGAUUUAAAAGGAAUAUUCUGAUAGAAUAAAUAAUGUAUAUUUAAAUACUUUUAUUU
rnacentral:tRNA from 1 species